CGCAGUUAGGCCGGAGCCAACACAUAGAAAGCAACCAGGCACAUACGCAAAUAACAUGGGCAUAAGACGGGAACGAACAUACUUAGCCCUGUUGGAGUAGGACCACUGUUGGUACAGAGUAGGGCAACUAUGGAUGUAGGAGUGGAUGGUCACAUGCGGGCCUACACACUGGAAUGGCUGGGGACAUAAACAAGCUAUGGGUUGGGGCAACAAUACUGCCCGCUUCCCAUACCCCCCCUCACGGGGUGGGAGUCGCCGGACGACACAUAAGAACACUGACCAACACACCCACGUACGCAAACGCACAUACAUCCAAUCAUGGACACCCGGCUUUAGACGCCCCGACCGCAUAGCUACUUGGCCCUGAGCUAAGGGCAUAAG